rnacentral:rRNA from 1 species
GGCGUACUGCUCAGUAACACGUGGAUAAUUACCCUUGGGAUGGGAAUAAACCCGGGAAACUGGGUAUAAUACCCGAUAGAUCUCGACUGCUGGAAUGCAUCGAGAUCCAAAGCUCCGGCGCUCAAGGAUGGAUCUGCGGCCUAUCAGGUUGUAGUGGGUGUAGCGUACCUACUAGCCUACGACGGGUACGGGUUGUGAGAGCAAGAGCCCGGAGAUGGAUUCUGAGACACGAAUCCAGGCCCUACGGGGUGCAGCAGGCGCGAAAACUUUACAAUGCUGGAAACAGCGAUAAGGGGACCUCGAGUGCCAGGUUACAAAUCUGGCUGUCGUGAUGCCUAAAAAGCAUUGCAUAGCAAGGGCCGGGCAAGACCGGUGCCAGCCGCCGCGGUAACACCGGCGGCUCGAGUGGUAACCGUUAUUAUUGGGUCUAAAGGGUCUGUAGCCGGCCGGAUAAGUCUCUUGGGAAAUCCAGCAGCUCAACUGUUGGGCUUUCAGGAGAUACUGUCUGGCUCGAGGCCGGGAGAGGUGAGAGGUACUUCAGGGGUAGGGGUGAAAUCUUGUAAUCCUUGAAGGACCACCAGUGGCGAAGGCGUCUCACCAGAACGGACCUGACGGCAAGGGACGAAAGCUAGGGGCACGAACCGGAUUAGAUACCCGGGUAGUCCUAGCCGUAAACGAUACUCGCUAGGUGUCGGCCACGGUGCGACCGUUGUCGGUGCCGUAGGGAAGCCGUGAAGCGAGCCACCUGGGAAGUACGGCC